rnacentral:rRNA from 1 species
UACGAAGGGUGCAAGCGUUAAUCGGAAUUACUGGGCGUAAAGGGUGCGUAGGCGGUUGUUUAAGUCUGUCGUGAAAUCCCCGGGCUCAACCUGGGAAUGGCGAUGGAUACUGGGCGAGCUAGAUGUGUGUCAGAGGAUGGUGGAAUUCCCGGUGGUAAGCUCGGUGAAAUGCGUAGGAGAAUCGGGAGGAACAUCAGUGGCGAAGGA